GAUGAACGCUGGCGGCGUGCCUAAUACAUGCAAGUCGAGCGAACGGACGAGAAGCUUGCUUCUCUGAUGUUAGCGGCGGACGGGUGAGUAACACGUGGAUAACCUACCUAUAAGACUGGGAUAACUUCGGGAAACCGUAGCUAAUACCGGAUAAUAUUUUGAACCGCAUGGUUCAAAAGUGAAAGACGGUCUUGCUGUCACUUAUAGAUGGAUCCGCGCUGCAUUAGCUAGUUGGUAAGGUAACGGCUUACCAAGGCAACGAUGCAUAGCCGACCUGAGAGGGUGAUCGGCGACACUGGAACUGGACCACGGUCCAGACUCCUACGGGAGGCAGCAGUAGGGAAUGUGCCGCAAUGGGCGAAAGCAUGACGGAGCAACGCCACGUGAGUGAUGGAGGUCUUGGGAUCGUAAAACUCUGUUAUUAGGGAAGAACAUAUGUGUAAGUAACUGUGCACAUCGUGACGGUACCUAAUCAGAAAGCCACGGCUAACUACGUG
rnacentral:rRNA from 1 species